GUGGUUUGUCGCGUCGUUUGUGGAAUACCGCAGCUUAACUGCGGGGUUGCAGGCGAUACGGGCAUAACUUGAGUGCUGUAGGGGAGACUGGAAUUCCUGGUGUAGCGGUGGAAUGCGCAGAUAUCAGGAGGAACACCGAUGGCGAAGGCAGGUCUCUGGGCAGUAACUGACGCUGAGGAGCGAAAGCAUGGGUAGCGAACAGGAUUAGAUACCCUGGUAGUCCAUGCCGUAAACGGUGGGCGCUAGGUGUGAGUCCCUUCCACGGGGUUCGUGCCGUAGCUAACGCAUUAAGCGCCCCGCCUGGGGAGUACGGCCGCAAGGCUAAAACUCAAAGGAAUUGACGGGGGCCCGCACAAGCGGCGGAGCAUGUGGAUUAAUUCGAUGCAACGCGAAGAACCUUACCUGGGCCUGACAUACACCGGAUCGCUGCAGAGAUGUAGUUUCCCUUGUGGCUGGUGUACAGGUGGUGCAUGGUUGUCGUCAGCUCGUGUCGUGAGAUGUUGGGUUAAGUCCCGCAACGAGCGCAACCCUUGUCUUAUGUUGCCAGCAUUUGGUUGGGGACUCAUGAGAGACUGCCGGGGUUAACUCGGAGGAAGGUGGGGAUGACGUCAAAUCAUCAUGCCCCUUAUGUCCAGGGCUUCACACAUGCUACAAUGGUCGGUACAACGCGUUGCGACACUGUGAGGUGGAGCUAAUCGCCUAAAGCCGGCCUUAGUUCGGAUUGGGGUCUGCAACUCGACCCCAUGAAGUCGGAGUCGCUAGUAAUCGCAGAUCAGCAACG
rnacentral:rRNA from 1 species